rnacentral:rRNA from 1 species
UGGGGAAUAUUGCACAAUGGGCGAAAGCCUGAUGCAGCAACGCCGCGUGAGUGAUGAAGGUCUUCGGAUUGUAAAGCUCUGUCUUUUGGGACGAUAAUGACGGUACCAAAGGAGGAAGCCACGGCUAACUACGUGCCAGCAGCCGCGGUAAUACGUAGGUGGCGAGCGUUGUCCGGAUUUACUGGGCGUAAAGGGUGCGUAGGCGGAUGUUUAAGUGAGAUGUGAAAUACCCGGGCUUAACUUGGGUGCUGCAUUUCAAACUGGAUAUCUAGAGUGCAGGAGAGGAGAAUGGAAUUCCUAGUGUAGCGGUGAAAUGCGUAGAGAUUAGGAAGAACACCAGUGGCGAAGGCGAUUCUCUGGACUGUAACUGACGCUGAGGCACGAAAGCGUGGGUAGCAAACAGGAUUAGAUACCCUGGUAGUCCACGCCGNAAACGAUGAGUACUAGGUGUAGGAGGUAUCGACCCCUUCUGUGCCGCAGUAAACACAUUAAGUACUCCGCCUGGGAAGUACGAUCGCAAGAUUAAAA